GACGAACGCUGGCGGCGUGCUUAACACAUGCAAGUCGAACGGUGAAGCGCCAGCUUGCUGGAGUGGAUCAGUGGCGAACGGGUGAGUAACACGUGAGCAACCUGCCCCUGACUCUGGAAUAAGCGCUGGAAACGGCGUCUAAUACUGGAUACGAGAAGGGUCCGCAUGGGCACUUUCUGUAAAGUUUUUCGGUUGGGGAUGGUCUCGCGGCCUAUCAGCUUGUUGGUGAGGUAAUGGCUCACCAAGGCGACGACGGGUAGCCGGCCUGAGAGGGCGACCGGCCACACUGGGACUGAGACACGGACCAGACUCCUACGGGAGGCAGCAGUGGGGAAUAUUGCACAAUGGGCGAAAGCCUGAUGCAGCGACGCCGCGUGAGGGAUGACGGCCUUCGGGUUGUAAACCUCUUUCAGCAGGGAAGAAGCGAAAGUGACGGUACCUGCAGAAGAAGCACCGGCUAACUACGUG
rnacentral:rRNA from 1 species